GUAGUCCACGCCGUAAACGAUGUCGACUUGGAGGUUGUGCCCUUGAGGCGUGGCUUCCGGAGCUAACGCGUUAAGUCGACCGCCUGGGGAGUACGGCCGCAAGGUUAAAACUCAAAUGAAUUGACGGGGGCCCGCACAAGCGGUGGAGCAUGUGGUUUAAUUCGAUGCAACGCGAAGAACCUUACCUACUCUUGACAUCCAGAGAACUUAGCAGAGAUGCUUUGGUGCCUUCGGGAACUCUGAGACAGGUGCUGCAUGGCUGUCGUCAGCUCGUGUUGUGAAAUGUUGGGUUAAGUCCCGCAACGAGCGCAACCCUUAUCCUUUGUUGCCAGCGGUUAGGCCGGGAACUCAAAGGAGACUGCCAGUGAUAAACUGGAGGAAGGUGGGGAUGACGUCAAGUCAUCAUGGCCCUUACGAGUAGGGCUACACACGUGCUACAAUGGCGCAUACAAAGAGAAGCGACCUCGCGAGAGCAAGCGGACCUCAUAAAGUGCGUCGUAGUCCGGAUUGGAGUCUGCAACUCGACUCCAUGAAGUCGGAAUCGCUAGUAAUCGUAGAUCAGAAUGCUACGGUGAAUACGUUCCCGGGCCUUGUACACACCGCCCGUCACACCAU
rnacentral:rRNA from 1 species